ACAAAUGUGACUUGUAUUCAUCUUUUGUUAUUGGCACCGCCCCCCCCCAACCCCCCGGGAGCCUUGGACGUGAGCACUGAGACCAGACGAAGGCGUACUCACUGCAGCGCCCACAGAAGCCGUCAUCAGUUUGAUCGUUCACCCAGAGGAAAACCAGCACAUGCAAGGUGGUGCGUCCACGUGAUAGAAUAUUACACAGCAAGGACCGUGACCUGCCCUACCACAAACGACACUUAGGAAUGUGGUGGGACUUGAACUGGAUACUUUCAAAGGGACCCACAGUCUACAGAGUCUAACACCUGCUGUCUUGUUCAUCAGUGGAUCGAUUUAUUCCUCCAACAUGGAUCUGAGCGUUCGCCAUAGGCCAGGCGCUAUGCUGGGAUCUCGGGACGUACAUCUGAGCAGGACAGAUCACCAUUCUUAAAGAUCAGUUAUGGAGGAGGACAAGGGAGCUGUGACAACAACCAGGAAAGUCAGCAAGUGCUUGAAAGACUUAAGGACAGCCCACGGCCGCCUCUGCCACCCCGGCCAGCCUGUUGUAGUGGAGGUGGGAGCCCCUCUCAACUGGUCGCAGGAUGGAAAGCUGCCCUGACCCUUGACCUCAGGCAGAGAGACCCAGAGGGACUCAGCGUCAGUGGAAGGCACUGAAUGCCCUGCAGUGAACCAGCCUUUUUGCAGACUUGCUGGGGCAUAAACUGUUCUGAGGACCAACAUCCUCCAUGACCUGCCUGGGCGUGGACUCUGCUAGGUACGGGAUCCCCCGGAGGGUGGGGUAUGGGGGCCUUUCUGGGCUCCCGGCUGCCGGCUGGCUGGGCAGCCGCUCCGGCUCAAGGCCCGCUGGGAGCACUGGGGGUUCGGGUUAGGGGUCCUGCUGCCUUUCCUGGACGUCAAGCCUGCAGCUCAGUCUGAAAAGACGCAGGGCCUGCACAGCGUGGGGUGCCCACAACCAUUGCCCGCACACUGGACCCCGCGGCCAGCACGUGGAAGGCCGAGGCAGAGAAAACACGGUCUGCGACGUUUCCUCUAAGAUGGUGCCCAGCAGACAGGCGGCUCACCUCCAGGAUGUCUGCUGUUCCACUUGUCUUCACCGAAAUGUAAGCUGCUUUAAUUAUUUCUGAGGACAGAUCAAACUUAUUUCAGAAAAGAAUUAGCUCAGGAGCAGGC